rnacentral:lncRNA from 1 species
UUUUAAUUCUCUUUGUGGGUAAGCAAUUAUUUGCUGUCGAAGCCUGGAACUUAGAAGAUUUUUGGGUUAUCAUAAAGUUUUCUUCGACAUAGGUGUUUACAGAAUCGAGACUUCAAACGGAAGUAUUUGAAAUUUAAAACAGAGCCGUUUCGUCAGAUCAACACGUGGAAACAUCUAAGAUAUGCAACGCUUGGGAACGGCGAGCGUG